rnacentral:rRNA from 1 species
GACGUAGGGCGCGAGCGUUGUCCGGAUUGAUUGGGCGUAAAGAGCUCGUAGGCGGCUCGUUGCGUCGGCUGUGAAAACCCGCAGCUCAACUGUGGGCCUGCAGCUGAUACGGGCGGGCUGGAGUUCGGUAGGGGAGACUGGAAUUCCUGGUGUAGCGGUGAAAUGACGCAGAUAUCAGGAGGAACACCGGUGGCGAAGGCGGGUCUCUGGGCCGAUACUGACGCUGAGGAGCGAAAGCGUGGGGAGCGAACAGG